rnacentral:misc_RNA from 1 species
UCCGGUUUGACACCGGCAGUCCCCUUAGAGUCCUCAACUUAAUGUAGUAACUAAGGGCAAAGGUUUCGCUCGUUAAGGGACUUAACCCGACAUCUCACGACACGAGCUGACGACAGCCAUGCAGCACCUGUGCCAGUUCCACCCUUGCGGGCGUAUCCCACUUUCAUGGGAAUAAUCCAGGCAUGUCAAACCCAGGUAAGGUUCUGCGCGUUGCUUCGAAUUGAACCACAUGCUCCACCGCUUGUGUGAGCCCCCGUCAAUUCCUUUGAGUUUUAGCCUUGCGACCGUACUUCCCAGGCGGUCCACUUAGCACUUUUGCUUCGACCCUGACCGCGUCAGAGCGGCCAGAAUCUAGUGGACAUCGUUUACGGCCAGGACUAC